rnacentral:rRNA from 1 species
UACGAAGGGGGCUAGCGUUGCUCGGAAUCACUGGGCGUAAAGCGCACGUAGGCGGAUUGUUAAGUCAGGGGUGAAAUCCUGGAGCUCAACUCCAGAACUGCCUUUGAUACUGGCGAUCUCGAGUCCGGGAGAGGUGAGUGGAACUGCGAGUGUAGAGGUGAAAUUCGUAGAUAUUCGCAAGAACACCAGUGGCGAAGGCGGCUCACUGGCCCGGUACUGACGCU